AGUGAACGCUGGCGGCAGGCCUAACACAUGCAAGUCGAACGGUAGCACAGAGGAGCUUGCUCCUUGGGUGACGAGUGGCGGACGGGUGAGGAAUACAUCGGAAUCUACCCUGUCGUGGGGGAUAACGUAGGGAAACUUACGCUAAUACCGCAUACGAACUGAGGUUGAAAGCGGCGGACCGCAAGGCGUCGCGCGAUUGGAUGAGCCGAUGUCCGAUUAGCUAGUUGGCGGGGUAAUGGCCCACCAAGGCGACGAUCGGUAGCUGGUCUGAGAGGAUGAUCAGCCACACUGGAACUGAGACACGGUCCAGACUCCUACGGGAGGCAGCAGUGGGGAAUAUUGGACAAUGGGCGCAAGCCUGAUCCAGCCAUGCCGCGUGUGUGAAGAAGGCCUUCGGGUUGUAAAGCACUUUGUUGGGUAAAGAAAGUACCUGUCGGUUAAUACCCGCGGGGCGUGACGGUACCCAAAGAAUAAG
rnacentral:rRNA from 1 species